rnacentral:lncRNA from 1 species
AUACCUCACAACAACAAGCUACCUCUAGAGGUUAGAUCAAAGAAACGAGGGACGGACGCGACCCACCACCGAUCCCAUUCCGUGCCACGGUGGGAUCCGGCUGCUCUCCAGCUAGUAACCUACUACGGAAAAGCCUGUUCUCCUUCUCCUGGCCUAAAUUAUGCUGGCUUGCUGUAAGCAGUUCUUCCUCUCCAGAGAUGGCUUCAGCAUACUUCUAGGUGACGAUUAGUUGGUGAUUAGUAGUCCUCUUGCAGGCCUGUCAGGUAGGCUG